CCUACGGGAGGCAGCAGUGGGGGAUAUUGGGCAAUGGGCGCAAGCCUGACCCAGCAACGCCGCGUGGAGGAAGAAGGCUUUCGGGUUGUAAACUUCUUUUAUCAGGGACGAAGAAAGUAACGGUACCUGAGAAAUAAGCCACGCCUAACUCCGUGCCAGCAGCCGCGGUAAUCCGUAGGUGGCAGGCGUUAUCCGGAUUUAUUGGGUGUAAAGGGCGUGUAGGCGGGAGCGCAAGCCUGAUGGGAAACCUCAGGGCUCAACCCUGGGCCUGCAUUUGAAACUGUGUGGCUUGAGUGCCGGAGAGGCAAUCGGAAUUCCGGGUGUAGCGGUGAAAUGCGUAGAUAGACGGAGGAACACCAGUGGCGAAGGCGGAUUGCUGGACAGUAACUGACGCUGAGGCGCGAAAGCGUGGGGAGCAAACAGGAUUAGAUACCCUUGUAGUC
rnacentral:rRNA from 1 species